rnacentral:rRNA from 1 species
CCUACGGGAGGCAGCAGUGAGGAAUAUUGGUCAAUGGGCGCGAGCCUGAACCAGCCAAGUCGCGUGAGGGAGGACGGCCCUACGGGUUGUAAACCUCUUUUGCCGGGGAGCAACGGGCGUCACGUGUGGCGCCACUGAGAGUAUCCGGAGAAAAAGCAUCGGCUAACACCGUGCCAGCACCCGGGGUAAUACGGAGGAUGCGAGCUUUAUCGGGAUUUAUUGGGUUAACGGGGUGCGUAGGCGGAUCGUUAGGUCAGUGGGCAACUUGAGGGGCUAAACCCAUUACCGCCAUUGAAACUGGCACUCUUGAGUGGAAGAGAGGUAGGCGGAAUGCGUGGUGUAGCGGUGAAAUGCAUAGAUAUCACGCAGAACCCCGAUUGCGAAGGCAGCAUACCGGCCUGCGACUGACGCUGAAGCACGAAAGCGUGGGGAUCGAACAGGAUUAGAUACCCGUGUAGUC